rnacentral:rRNA from 1 species
UACGUAGGGGGCAAGCGUUGUCCGGAUUUAUUGGGCGUAAAGAGCGUGUAGGCGGCCAUGUAGGUCCGUUGUGAAAACUCGAGGCUCAACCUCGAGACGCCGAUGGAAACCAUGUGGCUAGAGUCCGGAAGAGGAGAGUGGAAUUCCUGGUGUAGCGGUGAAAUGCGCAGAUAUCGGGAGGAACACCCGUAGCGAAGGCGGCACUCUGGGCCGGUACUGACGCUGAGGAGCGAAAGCGUGGGGAGCAAACGGG